GAGACCAGCCAGGCGGCCCAACCCUCGCCUUCCGCUUCACCUACGCCCAAGGUGCGGCGCAGAGGCCGGGCUGCGCGGCGCCCGCCCGGGAAGAAGCCGGUGUUGCAGCCGCCUUGCGUUCGGCCCCUGAAGCAGCGAGCCGAGAGGGAGGCAUGUAGCGACGGCCGCAGAGCCAGCUCGGAUUUUCAACUCUUAGGAUUUUUUUUUUUUUUUUUUUUUUUUUUUUUUGGUACUGCGGGCGCGCGGCAACCUUGGAUCAACGCCCCGCUGCUCCGGCCGGCCCACUCUUUCCUUGCAAGCUGCGGCUUCCUCGCGGAAACAUUAAAGGGUCUGAAGAAGGGCGCGGGGCCGAGAGUCAGAGAGUGGGACCCGGGAUCUCCCCGCGCCCAGUGGGGCAACCAUGACCGACGAGAGCUCCGAUGUCCCCCGGGAGUUAAUGGAAAGCAUCAAGGAUGUUAUUGGCAGGAAGAUCAAAAUCUCAGUGAAGAAGAAAGUGAAGUUGGAAGUGAAGGGCGACAGGGUGGAAAACAAAGUGCUGGUGCUCACAUCAUGCCGAGCCUUCCUCCUGUCAGCACGCAUCCCCAGCAAGCUCGAGUUAACCUUCAGUUAUCUAGAGAUUCAUGGAGUCAUCUGCCACAAGCCAGCCCAGAUGGUUGUGGAGACUGAGAAGUGUAACAUGUCCAUGAAGAUGGUGUCCCCAGAGGAUGUGAGUGAAGUGCUGGCUCACAUAGGCACCUGCUUGCGGAGGAUAUUCCCAGGCCUUUCCCCACUGAGAAUCAUGAAGAAAGUCUCCAUGGAGCCAUCUGAACGUCUGGCCAGUCUCCAGGCCCUGUGGGACAGCCAGACCUUGGCUGAGCCAGGCCCCUGUGGUGGGUUUUCUCAGAUGUAUGCCUGUGUGUGCGACUGGCUGGGCUUUUCAUACAAGGAAGAAGUGCAGUGGGAUGUGGAUACAAUUUAUCUGACACAAGACACCAGGGAAUUAAAUUUACAGGACUUCAGUCAUCUCGAGCACAGAGACCUGAUCCCCAUCAUUGCUGCCCUGGAGUAUAACCAGUGGUUCACCAAACUGUCCUCUAAGGAUCUCAAACUGUCCACGGAUGUUUGUGAACAGAUUUUGAGAGUGGUGAGUAGGUCCAAUCGACUGGAAGAGUUGGUGUUGGAAAAUGCUGGACUCAGAAUAGAUUUUGCACAGAAAUUGGCCGGUGCUCUAGCACACAAUCCUAACUCAGGACUUCACACAAUCAACCUUGCUGGGAACUCGCUGGAGGAUCGAGGUGUGUCCUCCUUAAGUAUUCAAUUUGCCAAACUCCCAAAGGGAUUGAAGCAUUUGAACCUCUCUAAAACCUCAUUGUCACCUAAAGGGGUGAACAGCCUUUGUCAGUCCCUCAGUGCCAACCCUCUGACUGCCUCUACCCUCACCCACCUGGACCUCUCAGGGAAUGCCCUCCGCGGAGAUGACCUCUCGCACAUGUACAAUUUUUUGGCCCAGCCCAACACCAUUGUUCAUCUGGAUCUAUCUAAUACAGAAUGUUCUCUGGAGAUGGUGUGUAGCGCUCUCCUCCGGGGUUGCCUUCAGUGUCUCGCUGUGCUCAAUCUCUCCAGAUCUGUCUUCUCUCACAGGAAAGGAAAGGAAGUCCCUCCGUCUUUCAAGCAGUUUUUCAGCAGUUCUCUGGCUUUGAUCCAAAUCAACCUUUCAGGCACGAAGCUGUCUCCCGAGCCCUUGAAAGCGCUGCUCUUGGGCCUGGCCUGCAAUCAUAGCCUGAAGGGAGUCUCUCUGGAUCUCAGCAACUGUGAGCUUGGCCACUGUCUGAGGUCAGGAGGAGCUCAAGUGUUAGAAGGCUGCAUCGCUGAAAUCCACAACAUCACCAGCUUAGAUAUCUCUGACAAUGGUUUAGAAUCCGACCUAUCUACCCUAAUUGUGUGGCUCAGUAAAAACAGAUCAAUACAGCACCUGGCAUUGGGCAAAAAUUUUAAUAAUAUGAAAUCCAAAAAUCUGACGCCUGUGUUGGACAACUUAGUGCAGAUGAUCCAAGAUGAAGACUCUCCUCUGCAGUCGUUGUCCCUGGCUGACUCAAAACUCAAGGCUGAGGUCACCAUCAUCAUCAAUGCCCUGGGCAGCAACACCUCCCUGACCAAAGUGGACAUCAGUGGGAAUGGCAUGGGGGACAUGGGAGCGAAGAUGCUGGCCAAGGCUCUCCAGAUCAACACCAAACUCAGGACAGUCAUCUGGGACAAAAACAACAUCACUGCACAAGGCUUUCAAGACAUAGCUGUUGCUAUGGAAAAGAACUACACACUGCGAUUUAUGCCAAUUCCGAUGUAUGAUGCCGCUCAAGCUCUCAAAACCAACCCCGAGAAAACAGAAGAGGCUCUGCAGAAGAUAGAAAAUUAUCUGCUCCGGAAUCACGAGACCAGGAAAUACCUUCAGGAGCAGGCCUAUCGCCUCCAGCAGGGCAUCGUCACCAGCACCACCCAGCAGAUGAUUGACCGGAUAUGUGUGAAGGUUCAGGAUCACCUCAACUCCUUACGAGCCUGUGGGGGUGAUGCUAUUCAGGAGGAUUUAAAGGCAGCGGAGCGGCUCAUGCGAGAUGCUAAGAACUCUAAAACAUUGUUGCCCAAUUUAUAUCAUGUGGGCGGUGCAUCCUGGGCAGGAGCCAGUGGGCUGUCAUCCAGUCCCAUUCAGGAGACCCUGGAGUCGAUGGCUGGAGAAGUCACAAGAGUGGUGGAUGAACAACUGAAGGAUUUGCUAGAAUCCAUGGUGGACGCAGCCGAGACCCUCUGCCCCAACGUCAUGAGAAAAGCCCACAUCCGACAGGACCUGAUCCAUGCCAGCACCGAAAAGAUUUCCAUCCCACGUACCUUUGUUAAAAAUGUCCUGUUGGAACAGUCCGGGAUUGACAUUCUUAACAAAAUCAGUGAGGUGAAGCUGACAGUGGCCUCGUUCUUGUCUGACCGGAUCGUCGAUGAGAUCCUGGAUUCUCUCUCCAGCAGCCAUCGGAAGCUGGCCAACCAUUUCAGCAGGCUAAACAAGAGCCUUCCCCAGCGAGAGGACCUAGAGGUGGAGCUGGUGGAGGAGAAGCCGGUGAAACGGGCCAUCCUCACGGUAGAGGAUCUCACAGAGGUGGAGAGGCUGGAAGACCUAGACACUUGUAUGACUCUCUGCUGUACAAGUAUGACUCCUAAGUCCAAGAGGAAGAGCAUCCACAGCCGAAUGCUGCGGCCUGUCUCCAGGGCCUUCGAAAUGGAGUUUGAUCUUGAUAAAGCCCUGGAAGAGGUGCCGAUUCACAUCGAAGACCCACCUUUCCCAUCAGUCCGGCAAGAGAAGCGAAGCUCGGGGUUAAUCUCUGAGCUGCCCUCGGAGGAAGGCAGGAGACUGGAACACUUCACCAAGUUAAGGCCCAAGCGGAACAAGAAGCAGCAACCUACGCAAGCAGCGGUCUGUACCAUCAGCAUCUUGCCCCAGGAUGGAGAACAGAAUGGCCUCAUGGGCAGAGUGGAUGAAGGGGUAGAUGAGUUUUUCACCAAGAAGGUGACUAAAAUGGAUUGCAAGAGGUCAUCCUCGCGCUCCUCAGAUGCCCACGAACUCGGGGAAGGAGAUGAGAAGAAAAAACGGGACUCUCGGAGGAGUGGCUUCCUCAACCUGAUUAAAUCCAGGUCCAGAUCUGAGCGGCCACCCACAGUCCUGAUGACGGAAGAGCUCUCCUCCCCGAAAGGGGCAAUGCGGAGCCCACCAGUGGAUACCACCAGGAAGGAGAUAAAGGCAGCGGAGCACAAUGGUGCUCCAGACCGCACAGAAGAGAUUAAGACACCGGAACCCCUGGAGGAGGGUCCAGCAGAGGAAGCUGGCAGGGCUGAGCGCAGUGACAGCAGGGGCAGCCCGCAGGGUGGCCGGCGCUAUGUGCAGGUGAUGGGCAGCGGCCUGCUGGCCGAGAUGAAGGCCAAGCAGGAGCGGAGGGCAGCAUGUGCACAGAAGAAGCUCGGCAAUGAUGUCAUCUCCCAGGAUCCUUCCAGCCCAGUCUCGUGCAACACAGAGCGUUUAGAAGGAGGGGCGACAGUGCCUAAACUGCAACCAGGUCUUCCAGAGGCCCGCUUUGGUUCGGGAACACCAGAAAAGAAUGCCAAAGCUGAACCCAGAGUGGAUGGAGGCUGCAGGUCCCGGAGCUCCUCCAGCAUGCCCACCAGCCCAAAGCCCCUCCUUCAGUCCCCUAAGCCCAGCCCUUCAGCCCGGCCUUCUAUCCCUCAGAAGCCAAGAACUGCCUCCCGACCUGAAGACACCCCAGACUCUCCAUCUGGUCCUAGUUCCCCUAAAGUUGCCCUCCUUCCACCCAUCCUCAAAAAAGUCUCCUCGGACAAGGAGCGUGACGGCCAGAACAGCUCACAGUCCAGUCCUAGGAGCUUCUCCCAGGAAGCGUGCCCAACUAAUUUCUGAAACAGGGUAAACCGGAUCCCUUUUCCUCAGUAGUGCAAAGAGGAGAUUAUUUCAAAAGGCAUUCAGAUCAUGACAGUGGGAAGCCUUCCAGUAGAGGGAAAAGAUCUUCAAAACUCUACUUCGCCAUUGCAGAAGAGGAAGCGAAUGCACCUGGGUACAGGAAGUCACAGCCAACAAAUGCCUCAAGGAGAAGCUGGGGCCCGGCCCAGGAGUAUCAAGAACAGAAGCAACGGUCCUCGGGCAAAGAUGGUCACCAAGGGAGCAAAUGCAGUGACUCUGGAGAAGAGGCAGAAAAAGAGUUUAUUUUUGUGUAAUGGUGCCCACCCCAAGCCUCUCCAUGCAGGGCGCUCUCCUCAGCUCUCAGAGAGGAGCCAGGGCCAGUACCUCUUCUCUCUUCUCUUGGUGCUUUCUUCUUUCUCUCCUUUCUUCUUUCUCAUUUAUAUAUAUUUUCAAAUUUUUGGUCUUCCCCCAUUCUUGGCAUUUGAUUUCUAAACACUGUUUCUUAUGCCUUCAACAAAAAGCCAGCAAUUAUUCCAUGGGCCCUACUUGAAUUUCUCUGAGGCAGCUACACAUUGCCCUGCAUGGUGAGUUGUUUUUGGAAAUUAAUGAAGUAACUGGACUCACACCCAAGUAACAAUCCGGGAGGUCCUGGGGUGCUACAGGGUGUGUUUGUGUCAGAUCCACACAUAACUCGAUAGAGCAAUUUAUUCUUGAUGUAUGCAAUUGCACAUUGUAAUUAUAUUAACAGAGCACACUAAUAAAUAAUUUGUAUAAAUUAUAAAUAUUAGAUCUUGGGCACAGUUCUUACAUUCUUUUGUGGGACAUUUCCUUCCCCAUGUAGAAUUGUACAUUUAAACCUUGGUUGGUAAUAUUUGCAGACCAUCGGCAAGCACAGCUAAAAACAGUGUGAGAAGCUCAGAUUCAUGUAUAUACUUGAUUGGAAUGAGGUCUUAUAAAUAUUCAUGUUUCUGAAGGCCUUUAAUUUCUGUCUGCUUAUUAGUUUUUAAUGUGUGGUUUUUAAAAGAAAAUUUUGGCACCUGUAAAAAAAAUCUAAAUACUACUCUUUAUAAAACAUCUCACAAAUAUUCACUUACAUUACAAGCUGAAAGUAUUUUAUUCAUAUGUAUAUUUAUACCAAUAAAAUAAUUUUACAAGUGGAA